rfam:Triticum aestivum genome assembly, contig: Triticum_aestivum_CS42_TGACv1_scaffold_375442_5AL
AUUCUACUCCCUCCGUGGCAUAAUACAUGCCUUCUAUUUGUCAAAAUAUAUAUGUAUCUAGACAUGUCUUAGUAUAUAGGUACAUCCAUUUUUGGACAAAUGGAAGUCAAGUAUUUUGGAAUGGAGGGAGUACACA